GAUGAACGCUGGCGAGAUGCUUUACACAUGCAAGUCGUACGAAAGUUUUUAACUUAAGUGGCGGACGGGUGAGUAACACGUAAGAAUUUACCUUUAGGAGGGGGAUAACAACUGGAAACGGUUGCUAAUACCCCAUAUGCUUUCGAGUGAAAUGGAUUUUUCCGCCUAGAGAGAAGCUUGCGGCUGAUUAGCUUGUUGGUGAGGUAAUGGCUCACCAAGGCGACGAUCAGUAUCUGGUUUGAGAGGACGAUCAGACACACUGGAACUGAGACACGGUCCAGACUCCUACGGGAGGCAGCAGUGGGGAAUUUUUCCGCAAUGGGCGAAAGCCUGACGGAGCAAUCUCGCGUGAGGGAUGACGGCCUAUGGGUUGUAAACCUCUUUGUCAAGGAAGAA
rnacentral:rRNA from 1 species